CCAAUAGCGUAUAUUAAAGUUGUUGCAGUUAAAAAGCUCGUAGUUGAAUUUCGGGGUCAGUAGGUCGGUCGUGCCACUGGUAUGAACUGGUCUCACUGAUUCCUCCCUCUUGUAGAACCGUGAUGCCAUUAAUUUGGUGUUGCGGGGAAACAGGACUGUUACUUUGAAAAAAUUAGAGUGUUUAAAGCAAGCUAACGCUUGAAUACAUUAGCAUGGAAUAAUGAAAUAGGACGUCGAUCUUAUUUUGUUGGUUUCUAGGGUUGACGUAAUGAUUAAUAGGGAUAGUUGGGGGCAUUAGUAUUCAAUUGUCAGAGGUGAAAUUCUUGGAUUUAUUGAAGACUAACUACUGCGAAAGCAUUUGCCAAGGAUGUUUUCAUUAAUCAAGAACGAAAGUUGGGGGAUCGAAGACGAUCAGAUACCGUCGUAGUCUUAACCAUAAACUAUGCCGACUAGGGAUCGGAUGAUGUUAAUUUUUUAAUGACUCAUUCGGCGCCUUACG
rnacentral:rRNA from 1 species